rnacentral:rRNA from 1 species
UACGUAGGCAGCAAGCGUUGUUCGGAGUUACUGGGCGUAAAGGGUGUGUAGGCGGUCGAUCAAGUUUGGUGUGAAAUCUCCCGGCUCAACUGGGAGGGUGCGCCGAAUACUGAUGGACUAGAGUGCGGGAGAGGAAAGUGGAAUUCCUGGUGUAGCGGUGAAAUGCGUAGAUAUCAGGAGGAACACCGGUGGUGUAGACGGCUUUCUGGACCGUAACUGACGCUGAGACACGAAAGCGUGGGUAGCAAACAGG